rnacentral:rRNA from 1 species
UACAGAGGUCUCGAGCGUUAGGCGGAAUCACUGGGCUUAAAGCGUGUGUAGGCGGAUCGUUAAGUGCCUUGUGAAAUCCCACGGCUCAACCGUGGAACUGCUUGGCAUACUGGCGGUCUUGAGCAACCUAGGGGCGAGCGGAACAAAUGGUGGAGCGGUGAAAUGCGUAGAUAUCCGAAGGAACAUCAGUGGCGAAAGCGACUUCCUGGACCAGAACUGACGAUCAGGCACGAAAGCGUGGGGAGCAAACAGG